AUACGUCGGGGGCGAGCGUUGUCCGGAAUGAUUGGGCGUAAAGGGCGCGUAGGCGGCCCGGUAAGUCUGGAGUGAAAGUCCUGUUUUUAAGAUGGGAAUUGCUUUGGAUACUGUCGGGCUUGAGUGCAGGAGAGGUAAGUGGAAUUCCCAGGGUAGCGGUGAAAUGCGUAGAGAUUGGGAGGAACACCAGUGGCGAAGGCGACUUACUGGACUGUAACUGACGCUGAGGCGCGAAAGUGUGGGGAGCAAACAGGAUUGGAUACCCUGGUAGUCCACACUGUAAACGAUGAAUGCUAGGUGUAGGGGGUAUCGACCCCUUCUGUGCCGCAGUCAACACAAUAAGCAUUCCGCCUGGGGAGUACGGCCGCAAGGCUGAAACUCAAAGGAAUUGACGGGG
rnacentral:rRNA from 1 species